GUGCUCACACAUGGGAAAUGUGGCAUUUUUCAGCCUGUUGAUCGUCUCAACCUUACGGCGUCACACUCCACUCUCUCUCCCAUUCCUAAAACAUACCGAGGUGCUCUCCAUGAUCCCUACUGUCGUCGUGCAUGGCACGACGAAUUUGAUGCUCUUGUUGCUAAUGGGACUUGGUCACUUGUUCGGCGUCCUCCUCGUGCUCAUGUUGUUUCAGGAAAAUGGAUCUUCAAACACAAGUUCCACUCCGACGGCAGCCUUGCUCGCUAUAAGGCUCGAUGGGUGGUCCGUGGAUAUUCUCAGCAGCCGGGCAUCGACUUCGACGAGACAAUCAGUCCCAUUGUCAAGACAGCCAUGAUUCACAUCGUCCUCAGUCUUGAUGUAUCCUAG
rnacentral:rRNA from 1 species